rnacentral:lncRNA from 1 species
UAUAAGAAUCCAUACCGAAACAUCGCAUCAAAUAUAAUAAAGAAGUUGUUAUCCAUAAAGAAUCUUACUUUCUUACGAGUUAUGAUAGCUACUGAAUGCUUGGAUGUGAAGUGUGGUUUGAAACUAACGUCAUCAGACAUUUGCUGCCACCAGUUUGAUGACCCACUUUUUGUAGUCAUCUUGUCAUUGACAGUUAUCACCAGACUUGACAGUAACCAGGAAACCCUUAUGUUGUGUGUUGCUAUUUGUUAUUUCAAGUGGAUCUCUGCCAUGUAUCUACUAUGUGGACAUAGGAAGGUUCAUUGUGGAUAAAAGAUAUACCAAUUUCAUUCUCAAAUUUAGAUUGAUUUUUUUUUUUUUAGCAUUCUCAGCCAUAUUUUAAAUGAAGGCAGGGAACCCCCUUGGUGGGAGAUGAAAGGUGUCCAACCUGACAUACCAUGUUGAGUAUUGUGACCCUUGUUUCCCCACCCGAGCCCCUCGGCAGGUGAUGAAAGGUGUCCAACCUGACAUACCAUGUUGAGUAUUGUGACCCUUGUUUCCCCACCGAACCCCCUCGGCAGGUGAUGAAAGGUGUCCAAUAUUACAUGUCAUGACUUGAGUUGAUGACGUGGUCAUGUGGGCACUUGGUGUCAUGGAACUUGAUGUCACGACUACCGUAUUGUUGCACUAUGAAGGAUCAGAGAAGGUUUUUACAUAAUUUAGGAACUGUCUUUAUGCAAGGAUUACCAGGAGGAAUAAACAAAACAGUAACAUAUCUUUGGCUUUUCCCUUGCUCAUGGUUUUACAUUUUCAUGCAAACCUCAGUCACAUUUAAAAAAAUAUGUUUUCCAGGAAUAUAUACCGGUAUAUCUUGCAGGCAUCUAAUAUAUAUAUGUACUUCUUACAGUUGGGGGGCGGUGUGGUAGCGUAGUGGUAAAAGCGUUCGUUCAUCACGCCGAAGACCCGGGUUCGAAUCCCCACAUGGGUACAAUAUGUGAAGCCCAUUUCUGGUGUCCCCUGCCGUGAUACAGCUGGAAUAUUGCUAAAAGCGGCGUAAAACUAAACUCACUCACUCACUCACUCUCACAGUUGAGCCAUGUGGCUGUAAUUACGUAGAAACAUGGUGGAUCCCACGGAAGUAUACAAUCCCACAACAUCUGUACAUUUCCUUAUGAUAGCACUGUAACUUGUCUGUGUAGAUUCUGUUCAAUAGCAAAUGAAAUCUCCAGGCUACGUUCUUUAGAAAAUCCCUAGUACAGGAAUACUUUCUUCAGAGUAUGAUUCUUGUUGGGGAUAUGCAGUAGAAAUUCCCUGCAGAGAGUUUAUUCUCCAGACAGAAGGUUCUGUGAAGACGGUAGGAUCAUGUUCACCAUGGUUUAUAAGGCCGUGUCGAUACAUCUUGUCCUUUACCACACAAGUGAAAACAUUUCUUAUCUUGACAUUAUCUUGACAUGUUGGGACCACUUUCAUUGUUCCCUGAUGUGAAACAGGUGUGUGGUUUAGAUAGUAGUGCAUUUACACAUGUCCUCGCAAUACUCAAUGUCAUUUGGAACUGACUACUGGCAAGACAUAUGAGGGGGAGCAUUCCGACCAGAACGCAGUUAACUAGUGGUCUUGCUUGUAGCGGUUGUUUUCUGAAGUUACCAUUAUUUGUUUGCUAAUUGUAUAUAAUCCUGACUUGAUCAGAAGAAGAAAUCUAGUCUUGGAAUUAUUUAAUAUUAUACUUUAUGAUGGAGUUUCAGGAUACUGAAUCUUUUCUCAAUGUAUACUGAUAUAAAUUGAAACCAUGAUAUAUAAUCAUGUGAAAUUUCAGUGGGUUAAGAGGGCGGUGGGGUAGCCUAGUGGUUAAAGCGUUCGCUUGUCACGCCAAAGGCCCGGGUUCGAUUCCCCACAUGGGUGCAAUUUGUGAAGCCCUUUUCUGGUGUCCCCCGCCGUGAUAUUGCUGGAAUAUUGCUAAAAACGGCGUAAAACCAUACUCAGUCAGUCAGUUCAGUGGGGUAAGUAAAUUUAAGAGACUAUUUUCUCUUAAUGUUGCAAUAUGGAUGCAAAUGAAAUAAGCCUUGUCAUAUUUCCUUCAAUAAAUUAAACACAUUUGAUAUUAGUAACUAUAACUGUUCUUGAUUUUGUCUUUACAAUUGUACGUUGUCGCAUACAAUAAUUAUUGAUUUGUACAGCUAUGUUAUAGUAUUGACAAACUCGUUAACUGUUUGUUUUACUAGUUGUUUCAACCAUACAAGUGAACAAGAAAUUAUUCAUUCCAGCCUGUGUAACACGUAGUCCCAUAUCAGUAUUUUAUUGCACAUCACAUGAAAUGCUAUUUUCCUUUAAACUACUGACCAAUGUCAGUGAGAUAUUCUCAUGUGAGGAAAGUAAGAUCAUACAGAUGGAUCUUGCCUACAUCUGGACAAAGGCUUUUGGUGUAUUUCUGAACAAUCAGACAGUUAUUCCAGGUUGUUUAACUGUUCCCCUAAGACUGCUGGCAAGGUGUGAAUGUUGCAGAGAAUUUUGAGCUUAAGGAGAUGUGGGCAAAUCUUUAAUAGGGGUAGGACAUUUUGUUGUAAGACAAACUUGGUUUUUGUCAAUUUCAGGAUUUUUUUUUUUUUUUAAAUAUUCUCUUUAGGAAACUAUUUCCUUUUCAAUAAUGAUUAAUUUGCUGCCACUUAAAUGCCUGCUUUUAAGAUUUUGUUUGAUGUUUCAAAACAAAUUUAGAGAUAUUUAGAAAGAUUAUUGACAUUACAUCUUACUUACUUUUCCGCUGACUACAGUAAAAUACCUUUAUAUCAAACUCCAAGGGGCCACUGAAAUUAGUUUGUUAUAUCCGUAGUUCGCUAUUCACUUUUUUAUAUGAUAAUAUAAGGUUUAUUCAGGAUUUUUAGAACAGUUCGCUAUAUCCGUCUGUUCGUUAUAAAAGUAUUCUACUGUAUAAACAAGUGGCCUUGGGGGAAUUCUUUUGGCAAAAGUCACAAAUAUAGAUGAAACUCCCCCAGUUUGUGGUUGUACUGACUGUAAAAGUCUCUAGGAGGUUGUCAGGUUUUGAAGCAUGAUGUUGAUGUUAAAUUAUAGCUCUUACCCCUGAGGCUGGAUUAUUAUGAAAUAUCUCUACAUGCAUGAAACUUUGUAUGGAUCAUUAGAAAUCCUACCACAGGAAAUGUAGGUGACUUGAAAGGUCAAGGUCAUCCUUGGGGUUAUGAAACAUGGCAUUGCAAAUUUAAUUGUACAAUCCUGAGAUUGUAUAAUUGUUUGAUCAUUGUCUUGAUAAAGUAAAAAGUCUGGAGGUCAUUUUUUUGGAUUGGAAAUGUUUGGCAUAAUAUUUUUUGAGCUUUGUGGAAAUGUCAGUGAAGGGGCUGCUUCUGUUUUUACAAGUACUAGCAAACACCUCUAGUAAUUGAUAUUUAAAUUAAUAUUAAUUCUAAAACAAGCUUAAGAAUAUUCUAUUACAUUUUUACAAUAAUAGAUCACCGGAUAAAUAGUUCAGUCACAGCAAACAGUUGUAUUAGUACAUAUUGCUUUGAUCUUCAUGUUGCAAUCAAACUUGACUGUACCUAUCAAAUAUUUUGGUGAGGAAAAUGUUUCUUCUUCCCUUCUUCACUUAGAUAUGUUAUUCAGUAUUGACAUUAAUUUUUUAAAAACAAAUUAUAUAAUCUUUGCAUUAAACACCAGCAUACUUCCAGAAUUAAAGACAGAGUUGCUUCUUUAAAAAGCAUGUGACAUUAUGUCUAAAUAUAUACCGGAAUAUCAAGUUAUUUUCUGUUUGAACCUAUAUUUCUGAGACAUAUUGAUACCGAUACUGCUCCAGGUUACUGCAGCCCUGUGUAAUAUCUAGACACAUCCUUGCCAUGGUCAGAACAAGCUUGCAACAGUCAUAUGCCUUGUGGUAUUGGCACGUCUAAUCUUUGGCCUAUUUAUAACAUGAGCAAAAUGUGUUUCAAACUUCUUCUUUGACAGUGUGUGAAAUACUGAAUUCUGCCAUCAUAUGUAUGUGUGGAGGAGGCUUUGUACUGUCUUUGUUUGUAGGGAAGUUCCAGUUUUUAUCAGGCUGUGCAAUAUGAAAAUUGAUUAGUUUCAUUAUUCUCUGAAGUAGAAACAGAGGUACGAGGCUUAACCCUUAAUGUACCAAUGAUAUCUUGAUACAACUUCAGUGGCUACUCACCAGUGGUAUGGACCUAUUACAAAUACCAGUAGAUAUGGACAUUAUAGAAUGUAUGGACAUGCCAGAGAAAGAUAUUAGUUUUGAACAAAGUUGCAAGAGAACUGACAUACACUGAACAUUUUUAACUGAAUAUUUUUUUAAUCAGUUAAAAAGUCAGUGUUUUGCUCUUAUCCUUAACAUCUGCAUCUGUUGAGGACACAUGAACAAACAAGGAAUAAUUUAAUGUUUAUAAUGAGAUCCCAGUCUGGUUUUAAAGAGAUGUAAUUACUAAAAUAAAUAUUUUAUGUCAGAUAUGAAGUAGAAGUGAAUAUUCUCAAAAUAACAACCUCAUGGAAUCUCGAAAUAGCAACUAUUGUGACUGGAAUAGAUUUCAAUAAUAUGGAUGAUAUAUAGAUGGUCAGUUUGUUUUGACGCCCAUUUAAGAUGAAAAUAAACCUCUUCCAUCUCUUUAAUGCAGGAUUAACAAAGUUGUAAUUUGUAUGGUGAAGAUAGGGACCUCAUUUCAUGAAUUGAUUGUAACUUUAUGACUGUUUAAAUUCUAUAGGCUAUGACAGUACAUGAAUUUGGCCCGACAUUGUGCUAUUGCUAUUAUCACAUCAUGAAAUGAGGCCUUGGUCCCUCAAGCAAUGGUUUCUUAGUGCAAGUUUGCAGCUUAAAUGUCUGAUAAUGGAAUGUGUUAAUCUGGCUUGAGGACAUAUUUCUGUCUGUGAGGCCAUCACGAAGCAUGUUUAGUUCAAAGCAUAAUCACAGGUUGCCUCCAAUAUAAUCAUAAAAUGGGUGCUACACGACAUUGCAUUUGCAUACAUAAUUACUGUAUUAAAAUUUAAUGUUAAAUGUUAUUGUAAAUUCAGAUGUAUUAUUUAUUUGAAACACAAGUCCAUAUACUUAUGUACAGAUGUCUGACACUUGUAUAAAUAUGUGUAUGUCGAUUACAUGGGGACUUGUCAAGUUGAUCUAUUGUGCGAGUGAGGUGUAUUGCUGUCUGUCAAUCAUCCCAGGUGUGCUUGUCGACACACAGCUAUCAGCUGACCAUGUCCUUUCUUGCCUGGAGGCUGAAAGCUGGUUUGAAAGAUUGUGUGUCAUGUUACGAUUUGAGGUUGAAAUCUUCAUUUAUUCAGGUAUGUGUAAUAUAUACUUGUUAUGUACCUUGGUACAUUCCUCAUCAUCUUUGAAUAAAAGCCAAGUUUUCUUA